UCAGACUUAAUGCACCUAGUCCAAGUACCCCCUGGACAUCCCAACAUCUUCAGAGCACAUCCAGAUAAAUAAAAGCAGCUGAUGCACUUCUACCAGGGGCUGCGUUUCUUCAAGGCGAGGCACGACACGUCUUCUAAUGUGGCGGGGACUUGGUCUAAAACCCUGUCGGAAAAAACACGAAAGUAUGUUAAUAAGGAAUGGUGCUGUUUUGUCUCCAAAAGGACCACCAUCAACCAAAAGGAGUACUGUAUUAGGCACAGCAUCUGCCAACUAGAAACUCAGCAAUCACAAAUAUCCAGAAGUAAGCAAACCUCUUACAGCUUUAUAUGGGAAGAGUCCCAUGGACAGAAACUACAGCUGAUAAGAUUCUAAACAUAUGAACUAGCAAAACAUUAUAAUGUAAUGUAAGAUUACAUUAUAAUAAACACCUAUUAGUUUUAUACUAGUUUACCUGUCAUGGCGUCUGCCAAACAAUCCUGGGAAUUGUGGUUUAGUGAGGGUGGUGAAAAUAAUUUGUUAGAAAUUUCUAGCUCGCCCACCAGAGAACUAUAUCUCCACAGGUUCCCCGGGGAAAUUCUGUCAUGUAGAUAAGGUAAGUGAAGUGUAUUGUUUGCACAAAUGAUACCACUUGCAAGUAAACCUAGUCCCAAGUCCCCACACUGUGAGUGAAUCAAAGGAAAAGGAAAUGUUUUUGAAAUGCCUUUUUUUCAAAACGCAGCAUAGGGGGGAAAUGUCUAACUUAAUAUUCUCUAAAACUGGUAUUCUCCACAUGAAUUAUUUCUGACCAACAGACAGAGAACAGGCACUAUGUCUUUUGUUUCUCUCAUGCACACAUUUUUCUUUCCAAAUAUAUUAUUCUAUUUCUUCCAAAAGAAGCAAAAUAAAAAAUACUAGCAAGUUACCAGUUAUUGUAUAGCCUGUUCCUCUAACAUAGUAUUUUUAUUUUUCAACUCUACCUCAGAUUACCCAGUCUAGCUGCUAAAAGUUGCAUAUGAAUCUAAGCAUUGCAACAAUUUUUCUAUUAUUUUGAACACAAUUUUGGAAGACACAAUAGUUCAUUGUUUCUUUUUUAAAAAGUUAUUGACAAUGCCUAUGCAUAUUUAUACAUAGUACACAAAUUGCACGGGCCUUCAUUUACUGACUACUAAAAGACUAUUUGAAUUAUUACAGAAUUGCUAUUAAAAUAAUUAAAGAACCAAAGCCCAAACUUUAUGGACAGCAAAAUAACAAUGCUUCAUUUUUUCCAUAAAUGCAAAGUUUGGCUAAUCCUAAAACUAUCAGACGUAACACUUUAAUAAAAAGACAACUUUUCUACA